AACGAACGCUGGCGGCAUGCCUAACACAUGCAAGUCGAACGAGACCUUCGGGUCUAGUUGCGCACGGGUGCGUAACGCGUGGGAACCUGCCCUUAGGUUCGGAAUAACUCCCCGAAAGGGGUGCUAAUACCGGAUAAUGUCUUCGGACCAAAGAUUUAUGGCCUUUGGAUGGGCGCGCGUUGGAUUCGCUAGUUGGUAGGGUAAAAGCCUACCAAGGCGACGAUCCAUAGCUGGUCUGAGAGCAUGCUCAGCCACACUGGGACUGCGACACGGCCCAGAAUCGUAGGGGAGGGAGGAGUGGGGAAUACAGGACAAUGGGGGAUAGCCUGAUCCCGCAAUGCCGGGUGAGUGAUGAAGGCAGUAGGGAAGUAAAGGUUGUUUACACGAGAUGAUAAUGACGGUACCGGGAGAAUAAGCACCGGCUAACUACGUG
rnacentral:rRNA from 1 species